CGAAAGUCGGACUAAUACCGCAUGAAGCAGGGGCCCCGCAUGGGGAUAUUUGCUAAAGAUUCAUCGCUGAUAGAUAGGCAUGCGUUCCAUUAGGCAGUUGGCGGGGUAACGGCCCACCAAACCGACGAUGGAUAGGGGUUCUGAGAGGAAGGUCCCCCACAUUGGUACUGAGACACGGACCAAACUCCUACGGGAGGCAGCAUG
rnacentral:rRNA from 1 species